GAUGAACGCUAGCGGCAGGCAUAAUACAUGCAAGACGAACGGCAAGAUUUUUAGCAAUAAGAAUCCCAGAGUGUCGUAAGGGUGCGUAACACGUAUGCAAUCUGCCCUCAACAGGAGGAUAGCUCCCCGAAAGGGGAAUUAACACUCCAUAAGAUUGUGGUGUGGCAUCACACAGCAAUUAAAACUACGGUGGUUGAGGAUGAGCAUGCGCAUGAUUAGUUAGUUGGCGGGUAACGGCCCACCAAGACGAUGAUCAUUAGGGGAACUGAGAGGUUGAUCCCCCACACUGGCACUGAGAUACGGGCCAGGACUCCUACGGGAGGCUG
rnacentral:rRNA from 1 species